rnacentral:rRNA from 1 species
UACGUAGGGGGCAAGCGUUGUCCGGAUUUAUUGGGCGUAAAGAGCGUGUAGGCGGUCAGGUAGGUCCGUUGUGAAAACUCGAGGCUCAACCUCGAGACGCCGAUGGAAACCAUCUGACUAGAGUCCGGAAGAGGAGAGUGGAAUUCCCGGUGUAGCGGUGAAAUGCGCAGAUAUCAGGAAGAACACCCGUGGCUAAGGCGGCUCUCUAGUACGGUACUGACGCUGAGACGCGAAAGCGUGGGGAGCGAACAGG